rnacentral:tRNA from 1 species
AGGUAUGUAACUCAAGUGGCAGAGUAGCGGCCUCUUAAGCCGAAGGUUGCAGGAUCAUGGCCUGUCAUGCCCA